CCUACGGGUGGCAGCAGUGAGGAAUAUUGGUCAAUGGACGAGAGUCUGAACCAGCCAAGUAGCGUGAAGGAUGACUGCCCUAUGGGUUGUAAACUUCUUUUAUAUGGGAAUAAAACGUUCCACGUGUGGGAUUUUGUAUGUACCAUAUGAAUAAGGAUCGGCUAACUCCGUGCCAGCAGCCGCGGUAAUACGGAGGCUCCGAGCGUUAUCCGGAUUUAUUGGGUUUAAAGGGAGCGUAGGUGGAUUGUUAAGUCAGUUGUGAAAGUUUGCGGCUCAACCGUAAAAUUGCAGUUGAAACUGGCAGUCUUGAGUACAGUAGAGGUGGGCGGAAUUCGUGGUGUAGCGGUGAAAUGCUUAGAUAUCACGAAGAACUCCGAUUGCGAAGGCAGUUCACUGGACUGCAACUGACACUGAGGCUCGAAAGUGUGGGUAUCAAACAGGAUUAGAUACCCUAGUAGUC
rnacentral:rRNA from 1 species